rnacentral:lncRNA from 1 species
AUGAGGAGCUGUAAGAUGCAUAUAUAGUAUUGCUCUUUAAAACUUAUCGUGUAUAAUUUUUUUUUUCACAAUUUUUCAUAUAACAUAAACAAAGUCCAAACAUUGUGUUACAAUAAAUAAACGUAAAAAAAAAAAAAAUUAAUCUCAUCAGAUACAAACUACAAAAAAAUGAAUCAAAAGAGAGAGAAAAUAAAAUAUAAAAAUAAUUUACGUAAUUUUACAAUUGUCAUACACGAAUGGAGAUAGAAUAGAAGCUUUAAUUCUAACCAAAUUAGAGUACAAAAAAAAUCUCUCUUACUUUUAUAAUAUCCUUCGUCACGUCCACCUAAGAGUCCACCUAAGAGCUACAAAUUUAAAAGUACCAAUGAAUUAGUACUUUUAAAAAUAUCUCAAUUCACUUCGAGUUGAACUAUAUUAUAUCUAAAAGUACUAAUUUAUUGGUACUUUUAAGUUCUAGCCUUUUGAUCUACGUAUGUUUUGAUAAUUAGUAACUUUUGAAUCAAACACUAUUUCACUUACUAUCACUAUUCUAGCCCUGCGUCAUCUUCAUCAAAGAGUUACGAACUUAAAAGCACUAAUAGAUUUGUGCUUUUAGAAAUAUUCUAACUCAAUUCUCUAAUUUUAUAUUAAUAACUAAAUUAUAACAACAACAACAAUAAUAAGAAAAAUAAUUAUAAAUACUUUCAUAAGCCAAAAAUAGCGAGGCCGUUGAUUUUUUGUCACGGCGAAUCGUAUUCGUCCAUCAAUCAUAGGAGUGCACAAAAGCUAUAAUCCAACGUGAAGCGUUUCCAUCAUAAAAAUGUAUGAUAUCAACUCCGCACCACCUAAAUAAAAAUCUCUCUCCCCACAUUUAUCGAUCCGCUCCAAAAUCCCAAGCACUCGACCACCACUUCAUUCCCACCACCACUCUCCUCCACUCAUCCCAACCCCAAUCCCCUCACCCCACUCCACUCCUCUUCUUCUCCCUCACCACCUCUCCCCAAUACCUCGUCCUCUUCCUCUUCCUCUUCCUCUUCCUCUUUCUCCUCCUCCGUUGCUCGCUCCAAGCCAUCGACAAUGGCCGCCGCCGCCGCCGCAUUCGCCGCGGCCGUGUCCCUCCCCUCCUCCUCCUCCAUAUCCUCCCCUUCUCCCUCGCUCCACAAGGUGAGACCUUUUCCACCCCGCCCCGCCAUUAGAGAGCGUGCUUAAAAAGCUCACUUUUUGUGGGUUUCUCGUUUCGUUCCUUGCUUCGUAGACGUGCUUGUUGUACCCGAGAGGCGUCGCAAAGGCCGCAGUCGGGAGAGGGGGCGGCGUUGCGCCGUUACGAGCUCAGGUGACCACCGAGGCUCCGGCGAAGGUUGAGAAGGUCUCGAAGAAGCAGGACGAGGGGCUCGUCACCAACAAGUUCAAGCCCAAGGAGCCCUUCAUCGGCCGCUGCCUCCUCAACACCAAGAUCACCGGCGACGACGCCCCCGGCGAGACAUGGCACAUGGUCUUCAGCACCGAUGGUCCAUCUCUCUUACUUUCUGCGGUUUCUGCGUGCUAGGGUUUGCUCAAUUUCGAGGAACAUGAGGUGGGUAUUUCGUUUUUUUUUUUUUUUUUUUUUUUGCAGGGCAGGUGCCCUACAGAGAGGGGCAAUCCAUUGGAGUGAUCCCUGAUGGGGUGGAUAAGAAUGGGAAGCCCCACAAGCUGAGAUUGUACUCCAUCGCCAGCAGCGCUCUCGGAGACUUCGGCGAUUCCAAAACCGUGAGUGAAUUGUGAAUAGAAUUACCGACGUUUCGAUUCAUUUCCUCGCAAAUUCGUAAAUUUUGAUUCUUGCAUAUGCUGGUAUGUCCUGAGGAGUGUGCCAUUUAAAUCCUUGUUAAGUUGCAUGCAAUUCGAAGAGCUUCACAGCAAACCACCGAUCAUGUUAGCACUGAUUUUAAGUUCUUUGUGAAUCAUGGAUUUAUCAUUUUGGUUGAUUACUUGCUGAUUGGCAUGCAUUUAACAUACUAAAAAGUAGGAAAAUUUUCACAUGCUUUUUAUUGGGUGGUUGAAGUUCAACUAUAUUGCUCUGAUAUUACUGUUAAAAGAAAACUGAUUGGAUUCAGCAUGCGGGGGGGUUUGGCGUUUCCGCAGGUUUCUCUCUGCGUGAAGCGGCUUGUUUAUACCAAUGAGCAGGGGGAGAUAGUGAAAGGAGUUUGCUCGAACUUCCUAUGUAAGAGCUUCAACUUCUCUCUCUCCCCUGUGAAUUACCGAAUGAUUCGGCGCAGAAUUUGAGAUUUUUUUUUUUUUUCCAUUUACGAGAGUACUCUUAAACUGGUUUCCUGCUGUUUGUUCCCCAGGUGAUCUCAAACCUGGUGCUGAUGUCAAGAUUACCGGACCAGUCGGAAAAGAAAUGCUUAUGCCAAAAGAUCCUAACGCAACUGUUAUAAUGGUAAAUCUCAUUCCCAUAAGUUUAGUUUUGCUUAUGGGUUUCACUCGACGACUUUAUUUAGCAUCUUAUCGAGAUAUGUUGGUUCAUGGCAGCUUGCGACAGGAACUGGGAUUGCUCCUUUCCGCGCAUUCUUGUGGAAAAUGUUCUUUGAGAAGCACGAGGAUUACAAGGUAAUGUUUUUCGCAUGUGCUUUGGUUUGCGGUGGAAUUCCUUUCAAAUGCAGAGCAAUAUCAAACGGAAUUUAUGUGUGAAACCAUGUGGCUAUUUGGUUUGCUACACAAUAACACAAAUUGACCUGGAAGAGAUAUUUAGUUUACGCCUCAAACUCCCACGCUUGAAUGUAUUGCCAUUUCUGAUCUUGUUUUUAGCGUGAUUAGUUUGCGAUGAAAUUAUGCAGUUCAAUGGACUAGCAUGGCUCUUCUUGGGAGUUCCUACAAGCAGCUCCUUGCUUUAUAAGGAGGUGAGCUAUCUCAUUUCCUCUGAGAGUCUCUAACUUUAUUUUAGUCAUCGCGCGAAAGGACAAAAAAAGAAGAAGUUUUCUCAACCUUUUUGUGAUGGGUUUUGUUUUGAAUCUCAGGAAUUUGAGAAGAUGGAGGAGAAGGCGCCGGACAAUUUCCGGCUCGACUUUGCAGUGAGCAGAGAGCAAACUAAUGCCAAAGGCGAGAAGAUGUACAUCCAGACUCGCAUGGCAGAGUAUGCCGAGGAAUUGUGGGAGCUACUCAAGAAGGACAAUACCUUUGUAUACAUGUGUGGACUAAAGGGGAUGGAGAAGGGUAUCGAUGACAUUAUGGUGUCUUUGGCCGCCAAAGACGGUAAUAAAAUUGUCGGGUUUAAUGAUAAAUUGUCGGAUUGUAUUAAACGCAAAGCGUAGUUUCCUACUUCAGAAACUCGACAACUUGACAUGCAGUAUUUAUGUUCCAAUGAACAGGUAUCGACUGGGCGACGUACAAGAAGGAACUAAAGAAAGGAGAACAGUGGAACGUGGAAGUGUAUUGAUCAUCCUUGCAUUUUUCAUGCAACCUGCGUCUCUCGUGGAAGGAGAUGUACAUGCUAGAAAAUUCGGUCCCCUCUAUGUAGAUAAGCAGUCUUUUCCUUUGAGCUUAUAUUACUUUCUUGUAAGAGGCUCAGUUACUGUAUCCUUCUUGGUUUUAUUCAAAAGGAAGCAUAAGAUGUAACAUCUUGUAAGCAAUCUCUACUCCAUUGAUAAACUUCCUCCUCCGGUUUUCUUAUGCCAACGUUUUUAUUUUUUUCAAGAAAAUAUCACGUCUGGUACGACCUGUUUGGCCUAACUUCUGGAAUAACUUCUGGAAAAGUGAUUUCCGUAUAAGUGAUUUUGAUUUGGAGAAUUGAUUUUAGUGAAAAGUGAUAGAGCGUUUGACUGAGUCUAGAUAAAAGUAAUUUUUUUAAAAUAAUUUUCUAAAACUGUUUGGUAAAAAAUUUUUGAUACUUACAUACAUUAAUAUUUUUGUUAAAUUUUAUGUUAAAAUAAUUUAAAAUUUGAAUGUAAAUUAAAAAAUUAAAUUUGAAUUAAAAGUAUACUUUUUAAAUUGCACAUUUGUACAAAAAAUAAAUUUUAAAUUUUAAAUUUGAAUUUUUUAAAUCUAAAUUUAAAUUUUUAAUUUUCCAAUCUGAAUUUAAAUUUUGAAUUUUAAAUUUUAAAUUUAAGAUUUGAAAUUGAAAAUUCAAAAAUUUAAAAUUUAAAAUUUAAUUUGAAAAUCUAAAUUUUUAAAAUUUAAACUUAAAUUUUCAAUUUUCAAUUAAAAUUUAAAAUUAAAAUUUAAAAAUUUAAAAUUUAAAUAAAAUUUAAAAUUUAAAAAUUAAAAUUAAAAUUUUAAAUUUAAAUUUUAAAUUUAAAUUUUAAAUUUAAAUGUUUAAAUCAAAUUUAAAUUUAAAUUUAAAUUUCAAAAAUUUAAAACUUCAAAUUCAGAUUUAAAAUUUAAAAUUUGAAAUUUGAAAUUUAAAACUAAAAUAAAAUUUUAAAUUUCAAAAUUUAAAAUUUAAAAUUUUAAAAUUUGAAAUUUAAAAUUAAAAUUUAAAAUUUGAAUUUUCUAAUUUGAAAAUUAAAAAUUGUAAUUUUAAGUUUUAAAUUUUAAAAUUUUAAAAUUUAAGUUUUAAAAUAUGAAAUGUCAAAAAAUAAAUUUUAUCUUAAAUUUAAAAUUUAAAAUUUUGAAUUUUAAAAUUUAAAAUGUGAGAUUAGAAACUUAAAUUUAAAAUUUAAAAAUCUAAAUUUAAAAUUUAAAAUUUGAAAAGUUGAGAUUUAAAAAUUCAGAUAUGAAUUUAAAAUUUCAAUAUUUAAAUUAAAUGUUAAUUUUUUUUACUUUGAAUCUAAAAUAAAAAUAAAAAUUUGAAGUUCGAAUCCAAAAUCAUAAUCAGUUUUGGAUAAGUAGUUUUUUUCUGUUUCUCAUUUAGGAGCCUUCAAAAUUAGUUUUCUGAUUCUAAAAAAUAAAAUCAGAUUUUUCAUCUGUUGUUUCCAAACGCUCUACUGAGCUCAAAAGUGAUUUUGGGCUCAGAAUUACUUCUGAGAAGUUAGACCAAACACCCCCUAAAUCUAUUUACUGGUUUGAUUGCUGUAAAAUGGAGUCACUAAAAUGAUUUUUUUUAACAAUCAGCACUCUUUUAGCUAAGUGCAUGUUGACUACUUACUAUAUGUCAGUAUUGUUGACAAGCAUUUUUACCUCCUUUUCUUCGGAACCAGUAUCUAUGUUUCUCAACAUUAUUGGCUUUCUUUGUUUUUUUUUAAAAAUUAUUAGGAGUAUCCUCUAGUCUAUGGAAAUAUUAUUAUUAUACUAAUAAUAAGAGACUUUUGAGAGUUAUCUUUUGGCUGUCCAACUUGAUCACCUCUUUCAGAUGGGAGGAAAGACUAAUUGGAUGACCGCAAUAGAAAGAUGGAAGUUAUAAAAAGAAACAAAAAAGCACUGCAGGAGAAAGCACUAUGACUCUUCCAUGUAAGAGGCAUGGAGAAGAUAGUUAUCAGCGCACACUAGGUUAUUCUUGAACACCAAAAACAACAAUGUGUACAUAUCAUGCUAGUAUUCAAGUGGCGAUAAAAAGAUGAAGCAUGAUGCUACUUAGCUACAACAAUGGCAGAGAAGUGCCAACCCUUGGUGAAAUUAAAAUUCAGAAUGCAAUUAAACUACAACAACAACAAAAGCUACCAGAUUAGAUUGCUACGUAAUACCAUCCAACACCGAAAAAGUUGAGGGCAUGACUGCAUCUGUAAACCCGCGGAUCGAGAGUUCCGGUAUAGAUGGAUUACUCUCUUGCAAUAGCUCGUGAUCGAUGAAGAUAACAAUCACCGUAAUGUCAUCAUGGAAGAAACGGCGGAUCCCCUUGUCCAGUUUCUUGAGAUCUGCAUAGCUCAUUUCCCUCUUCCGUGCAGCUUCUUCGAGAGCUCUUUUAACCAGUCUCCUAGCAAUUCCCUGUAAUAUGUAGCAUAAAAUAAGUUAGCUAGAAGUCGAUGGGAAAGGAGGUUAAUUACUGAAAUUAUCAAUAUAAGAGAGGGCGAGUUCUUACUGCUCUUGGGUAAUUAUGGACGAUCUCGACUGCUUGUUGGUUCGUCAGGUGCUCCCACAGUCCAUCAGAUGCAAAUAUUAAGAACUUAUCUUGUGGACAAAGCACUCGCGUGUAUAGGGACGGCUCUGCUGUCAGUACGGGGCGACGAAGAGGUUCCGACAGCCGGAAUCGCUGCACAGAUGGAUCCACGGAGAACUCCGGCUUCUUCAAGUAUGCAUCACCAAUAGAUCUUGAAACCUACGAAUGGAUCACAGAAAAGCUGCUAUAAGAAAGUCACCUUACAUCAAAUAUAUAACAUCAUAUUCCGACUUAAUAAUGAAUCUAUAGAAACAACUUAAACAGAUCUACGCAAACAAAAAGAGCAAAGGUGGAUGACUAUCUCACCUGAAUAAUGCCUUUGAUACGCCAUACCCCAUGCUUAAGUACCACAAUAUGUGAAUCAUCCGGAUGAAGAGAUCGAAGUUCUUGUCUCACUUCCUCCACACUAGCAUUAUGAUCUCUUGUCAGUUGCUCAGCGACAAUUUUGUUUGACCUACCCAAACAACCAAUGACAGCUCGAGAAUCUCCCACAUUAGCUACAUAGAGAGUUCCUCUCCAUAUAACACCAACCAGACAACAAGAUCCAACAGCAGCAAUCAAAGGCUUAAAUUCACGCAUUCUCCGAACAAGUGCCAGGAAGCCAUUCUCAGUUGCAGAAAAUGCAUUUCUAACAACAUCCUCAGAUAUCGUUCCACUUUCCCGAGCAAGCCCUAAAAAUUGGGAGAAGAGUGUCGGAUAGCGAAGGUGAAAGAAACACAGAACAUGUAAUAAUACCAAAAGAGACGAAGAGAGACAUGAGUUUAUAGUGUAGGUCGUGCAAAUUAAAAUCUGACACAUCUUGCUUGAUGCUGCAACAAAACAGAACAAGCUCAGAUUAAGCAAGCCAGUUUUGUCCUAUUAGUGAGACUAGGUCCUUUGGUUGAUUAUUCAUUUCUCCUCCGUUACCGGAACACAUACUAAUUCACCAUUUGUACCCCAUUUUCCAUCAAUGCAAGAGACAGACCCGGCGCCUCAAAAGCUACCUGAUAAGUAGGCACCAAGGUUUUUAGUGGCUCAACGGUUUAAGGUCAACGAGCAAGCGAGAGAUCCAGAGAUUUUCCUCGGAAUUGUAAACAAAAUGACUAAACCAAACGGAAAGUGAUUUAAGAAUAACAAGAACAUAAAAUCCGGAAAGUGAAUAUUAUCCAGCAGUAACAUAGGAAACCACACUUGAAACUUCUGUAAAGAUAGCUCAAAAUGAUCUACUGUUGCAACAUUAUUGACUACGUCUAUGGUAAAGCAACUGACUCCCACACUGGGGAAAACUAUCUAAUUAUUAAACAAAUUUCAAAUGAUAUGUCAAUUAUAGACGAAUUUAGAUGUACGUUAUAGCAAAAGAAAGGGGAAUCUGACAAACAAUUAAAAUGACCAGGAAAUAGGAAAGGCCAAACACCAAUCUAUUCUGUCUAAACCAAACACUCAAGCAGAAUAACUAGUCGACAAUCAUUCUUGAAUACUGUUUAAUUAUCAAACCCAUCAAAACGUUAAGAUAACGGAUUUUAUUCUUCAUGGACUACUUUAUGCUUCAGGUUAGUUGCAAAUUAUACAACAAUAAACAAACUCAAAACACAUGCUUCACAAGCAAAAAUUAUGUUUCAAGUACGUUGCAAACUACAGGGUUCAUUAUUCUAGUUGAUAAAGAAUAGUGUGUUUUCUCUCACCUGCAACUGCGGUUUUCUCAACCAUAAGUGCAAGUCUUCCCCAUCAAAUGCUUUGCAAGUAAUUACUUCCUCAAAAUAACAAGUCAGAUAAGUAUAACACUGAAGUGCAGGAUCUGACUAGGUUUACGUUUCCACAAUCUUGAUAUGAUAUGACCGAUACACGAGAUAUACAUACAUGUUGUUUUACUUUGAAAUCAAUCCUUCACAAGAGCUUUAAAUAAUUGUUUUCCAUCUCUCAUAUACAUCUUUCAUAUACUCUAUUAACACAAGUUAAUUCUAGAACAAACUUUUUCCAUUAACCCUGAUCAACUUAAUGACGAUGCAAUUAUUGGCUUAACUAAGAAAUCCAACGCUUUCCACACUAGCAAUUACAAAGAGUGCACACCUAUAAAGAAGCACUCCUCAAGGCGUUUAAGUUCCAUUCAAUCCUUCUGUCGCCUACAACAAUUCUUGAAAGGUUUCUUAGGCAUUUUAGAAAAAAUCCUCCACACUGCAUAAUGCUUGUUCUCACUUAUUUUUGGCAAAAGAGGAAAAAAAAAUCUGAGACUAGUUUAGAAUGUUUAGGAUGUUGGGAAACAGGAAGUCUAUCAUAUGGAACCAAAAGAGUAUUCCAGUUCAGAAGACAACAUAUUCUUGCAUGAAAACAAAAUGGUGUGAUAGAGGAAAUGGGAAUCUAGGGCAAACUCCCAAUUAUACCAAUUCAUGGCUGAUUUAUAAGCAUUUAGUCAAAUAGGCUAAUACAGACCUUGCAAUCAGUCCUAUGUUCAUCACCCUUUCAUCACCCCCAGUAUUUCCUUACUAGCCAUUCUCAUUAAUAACAACUCACCCGUAAAUUUCUGAAAAUAAAUUGCUACAAACAGAGACAGCGAUUUCUCCGUUUUAGUGGCUAUUUAAUAAAUUUUGAUAUCAAAAACCUAUAAAUCCCACACAUCUACCAAAAAUAUGUUUCCAAACACUUCACUUUCGGCCUUCUCUUGAUUUAUACAAAUAAAAGCACGUUUCAAAAGGCUAAUCAUCGUUAUGUACAAGAAAAAAAACAAGACAACAAAUUUAAGCAACCCCCCUCACUUCACAUACAACGUCGCUUAAGCUAUCAAAACAUCUCAAAAAAGGAACUGCGACAGAAUAUUUGAAACCCAUAAAAGCGAAAACCAAACCAAGAGAGAACAAAUGGACCUGUGCAGGAUGAAUUUAAAUAAAUACUGAAUAGCAAAGAUAAAAAAAUAUAUGUAUAUCACUUCGAUGCCGAGAAGAGAGGAACUUACGAACGAGGUGGAGGAAGAGGUGGUCGGAGAUGAAUCGCGAGGCGUCGGCGCCGCCGUGGCCGUCGUAGACCCCGACGAAGGUGGCGGCGACGCCGGUCUCGACCUGGCUGUGGUCCUCGAUCACCUCGUUGGCCUGCACGACGGCGAACGAGUACUCCCCCGCCGCGUGGCGCCCGAUGUCCCGCGACCACAGCAGCACGUCGUCUCCGCCGUCGUCGCCGCCCCCCUCAUCCUUGCUCAUACGCGCGUACCUCCGUACCGGGCCCAUGCACGCCGCCGCAAUCCUCGACAACCACGAAAACAUCCCUCAUUUCCCUCCACGCAAGAUCCCGUAGGGUUUCCGCACCGAGAUCGCCGCCGCGUCGCCGCCCACCCGAGACGACCCCGAUCCCCCGACGCGAACAGAGUUUUCGGACAGAAUUAGGGUUUCGAAUGUAGAAGCCACCGGAAAUUUAGGGUUAGGGUUUCGAUCGAGAGCGAGGAAGAGGUCGAUGUGGCGAGGGAGGCGCGCGAGUGGAGAAGGGGGAGAGAGAGAGAGAGAGAGAGAGAGAGGGAACCGAAGAAAGAGGACUCCGACAAAGGCUCAUUAAGCUACGGACAAGUCCCCGGACAUUUAUAACGGAUUUUGCGAAGUAAGUGCCACUGUGGUUGGACAAAUUUACGAAGAUGCCACCGACGGAAAACAGCGGAAAAAGUGUUGAGGGAAAAAGCGCGCACCGAGACGGGGGGGAGGUCGAGUUCCGGACCGUGAUAGGCGCGUUGACUUCCACUGUUCGAGAACGUUUAUUUAAAACCUUUUUCUUGGCAUUUUUUUAUUUUUAAUAUUAAUUAUUAAGCUUUACUAAUCGUUCCUAGAGUAAGUGAUAAAGAACUUAGUGAUUGAUAUUCGAGACCCAAAUUCGUAUUUUUAUUCAUUUAUAUUUUCAGCUAAAUUUAUUUCUAAAUAAAAUAAAUGAAACGAAUACUGUGCUAUCUAUUUUUCAAAAAAAAAAAAUAAUUAUUAAGUUUUGUAUCAUUGUAUGUGUUAUUUUCUCAAAUCUUUGUUUCCUACUUAUGAAAAUAAACUUCCUCGAAUAAUUUCAACGCGCAUGAAUGGUUUUUUUUUUUUUUUUUUACUGUUCCUGUUUAGAUUUUUCUCUUAUUGUUAUUUCUUAAGAGUUGUAUUAUAUUUCUCAAAUUAAAAAGAACCUCUUAAGCCACCUCGAGCAAAAGUGCAUGCUCUUAGUAAUCCUCCAAUAAAAAAUUAAAAGCCAAUUGUAGCAUAGAACAAAUGAUAAUCAAUUAAUAAUACUCUUCAGGAGCCCGAGUUGCCCCACUCUUGUAGCCUAGUUCAUCUUAUUAUUGAAUGAAGCAAGUAGCGUGCUACAUUUAUCUCAAAAAAAAUUAAUAAUACUCUUCAGUCAUGCCAUUUCAUUUUUUAUCCAAAAAACUGAAGCCAUUACAUAUUAUUUCAGGUUACGCACGACUUAGCUAAAAAGAAAAAGAAAAUAUAAGAGGACCUGCAAAAUAGUUCUUUCGUUCAGUACCUUCGUGUAUUUGCAUUAAAUAGAAAGAUAUUAAACAUAUAUGUUAGGAGAAUGGUGAUUUGAACCUAGUAAUUCAAAUUUUAGAUCUUCUGAAAUUUUUUUUUUUUUGAUUAAACAGGAAUUUACCCUAUUUGAAAAGGUACAAAGACCAGGAGAGAAGGGAAGGAAAAGAGGUGGAAGGAGUAUCCGAUUACAAAUAAAAAGCCCCAGACACGAAUCAAUCAGCACACAUGGAUAAUUUAUAAAUUAAUAUAAAUUAAUAUAAAACAAUAAUUUUAGAUCUUCUUAUUUGAUACUAUAUAAAUUAAUAUAAACAAUAAUUUUUUCGAAUAACUUAACGUACCAAAUAAUGGUAUAUUUAUAUUUAUAUAUUUCAACAUAUGGCCCUCCUGAAAUAUAAAAAUAAAAUUUUCAAUUGAGGAAAGGAUUUGCUAAAAACAUUUCUUUUUCUAUGUAUUCCCAUGACUCCAAAAUUGCUAAUUGAUCAGAUAUUUAUUUACCUAAUAGUAUCUCAGCAAUAACACACCUAGAGUGAGUUAUAUAGCAUUUUGCUACAAAUAUAAUAGGUAAAAAUAAACAUAGGGUUAAAUCUAACGGUGGAAAAUUCGAUAGCACCAAAUUCUUGGUGCUAUCGAUAGUACCCCAACCGGAUUCUAAAAAACUAGGCUGAAAUACUAUCAAUAGCACCAAGCUAUUGGUGCUAUUGAUUUUUUAGCUCUUGAAUUGAGAAAUAGAUGGUUAGGAUGAUGUGGGCCCUCUAGGGUUAAGUGAGUGGUUGGUUGAAUAGUAUAAUCUAACGGGUAAAAAUAAUCAUAGAGUUAAAUCUAACGGUAGAAAACUCGAUAGCACCAAAUUCUUGGUGCUAUCGAUAGUACCCCAGCCGGACUCCUAGCUAAAUCUAUAAAGAUAAACAAUAUAUUCAAAUUUUGAAGUCAAUAUAUUGUUUACUGAUGGAAAUUAAACAAAUUAAAAUAUUGGACAGUAAAAUUAAAAUUUUAAAAUAUUAGGCAAUCGGCUGAAAAUGAUCCACUUCUCAAAUUAAUUCUAUACCUUUUUAAAUUAAUUAUAUAUUUAAAUAUAGAGUCCGGCUUGGGUACUAUCGAUAGCACCAAGAAUUUGGUGCUAUCGAGUUUUCCACCGUUAGAUUUAACCCUAUAAUUAUUUUUAUCCGUUAGAUUAUACUAUUCAACCAACUACUUACUCAACCCUGGGGGGCCCACAUCAUCCUAACCAUCCAUUUCGCAAUCCAAGGGCUAAAAAAUCAAUAGCACCAAUAGCUUGGUGCUAUUGAUAGUAUUACAGCCUAGUUCUUUAGCUAGGAGUCCGGCUGGGGUACUAUCGAUAGCACCAAGAAUUUUAAAAUGCUGGAUAGCUAAUUCAAAAUGAUUCAUAAUACACGUAAGUUUUGUAUAUUUUUAUCUAUAUAUAUAUUAUCAUAAAGAGUUUACGGGACCGGUAGACACGCAUUAAAAAUAUUCAUCAAAUUACCGNUUUUGAAUUAUUCACUCAACUUCAAAGUUUAAUUUUUUUAAAAAAAAUAGAUUUAAAAUUUAGACAUUAUUUCAAAAUUUUGAUGUAAAAUUUCAAUAUUUAAUUUGAAUUUAAAUUAAUAUAUUAUAAGAUAAUGUUAAUAUAUUAAUUUGAUUACGUUUUUUAUAUCUACCUGAACCAAACACCGACAAUGGGAAUGAUUUAUUCCGAUUCCGAUUCUGGGGAUGAACCAAACGGAAUUAAGUAAUGGAUCAUUCCGAUUCCGAUUCCACCUUAUUUUGAUUCCGAUUCCGAUUCCGACUCCGACUUUGAACCAAACACGCCCAUAGAGUGAGUUAUAUAGCAUUUUGCUACAAAUAUAACGGGUAAAAAUAAAUAUAGGGUUAAAUCUAACGGUGGAAAACUCGAUAGCACCAAAUUCUUGGUGCUAUCGAUAGUACCCCAACCGAACUCUAAAAAACUAGGCUGAAAAACUAUCAAUAGCACCAAGCUAUUGGUGCUAUUGAUUUUUUAGCUCUUGAAUUGAGAAAUAGAUGGUUAGGAUGAUGUGGGCCCCCUAGGGUUGAGUGAGUGGUUGGUUGAAUAGUAUAAUCUAACGGGUAAAAAUAAUCAUAGAGUUAAAUCUAACGGUAGAAAACUCGAUAGCACCAAAUUUUUGGUGCUAUCGAUAGUACCCCAGCCGGACUCCUAGCUAGAUAAACAAUAUAUUCAAAUUUUGAAGUCAAUAUAUUGUUUACUGAUGGAAAUUAAACAAAUUAAAAUAUUGGACAAUAAAAUUAAAAUUUUAAAAUAUUAGGCAAUCGGCUGAAAAUGAUCCACUUCUCAAAUUAAUUCUAUACCUUUUUAAAUUAAUUAUAUAUUUAUAUAUAGAGUCCGGCUGGGGUACUAUCGAUAGGACCAAGAAUUUGGUGCUGUCGAGUUUUCCACCGUUAGAUUUAACUCUAUAAUUAUUUUUACCCGUCAGAUUAUACUAUUCAACCAACUACUUACUCAGCCCUGGGGGGCCCACAUCAUCCUAACCAUCCAUUUCGCAAUCCAAGAGCUAAAAAAUCAAUAGCACCAGCACCAAUAAGUUGGUGCUAUUGAUAGUAUUACAGUCUAGUUCUUUAGCUAGGAGUCCGGCUGGGGUACUAUCGAUAGCACCAAGAAUUUUAAAAUGCUGGAUAGCUAAUUCAAAAUGAUUCAUAAAACACAUAAGUUUUGUACAUUUUUAUCUAUAUAUAUUAUCAUAAAGAGUUUACGGGACCGGUAGACACGCAUUAAAAAUAUUCAUCAAAUUACCGACUAUUCCUAGUAUGAGUAGCAAAAGGCUUGGUAGUUGGUACCUGAGGUCCCAAGUUCGAAUUCUAAUUGAUUCAUAUUUCCAACUAAAUUUAUUUCUAAAUGAAAUAAAUGAAGUGAAUAGUAUAUACUACCUGCCUCUCUCAAAAAAAAAAAAAAAAAAAAAUCACCAAAUUAAAUAAAUUAUUAAAAGAUCGGCAGAAGUCAGAUAGGAGGGUUGUUACUGGAAAGAUCAGUCGAGCGUUCGGGGCACUCGAAACCUGUGAGAAAGAGAGAAAGAAAGAAAGAAAGAAAGAAAGAAAGAAAAGCUUUGACCAGCUACAUGGGCGGAGGGGGCCACGAGGAUACGAGCGUGGUGUUUUUAAUGCACACCUACCGUGCAACCAACGAUAUCAUCAUCGAUAUGCCUUGCCUUACAUAUAUGAGAGCUCUGAUGCUCUGUACACUGUGGAUCCAAAAUAUGAUAUGAUGAUCACUACGCGUGCAAUCAUCAUCGUUAUCUUCUAUUCACCCAAAAAACAAGAAAAAGAAAAAAAGAGAAUUGAUAUUGUCAAAAUAAUUUUUUGCUAUUACCGGAACCAAAUACCCUGAACUCCUAAAAGUACCGUAGGUAGAGACGAUAGAUUUCGUUUGGUAUUUGCCAAGCUCAGCUUUGACAAUAUCAAUUUUCUUAAAAGAGACGACUAGAUUUUUAGCAAGUGUUGCAAAAUAUUUAAGUUGAAAUCCUUCGAUUUUUCUAUUAUAAAGUAACAUAUAAAUCCAUACCUUUUCUACAAGGAAAAAAUAAAAAAGGUAAGUUCAAGAUUUUCUUAAUUUUCAAACAAACAUAAAGAUGUAAAGUUUACAAACAGGCCGUCGUGCAUCAGCGCAUUUAAAGCCAUAUAUAACUUGAGAGGAGAUGAACCAUACGUUUAGCCAAAAGAAGCAUCAAGUACCAUGUUUUUUUUUAUUAGUGGUUAGGAUUAACUAUGACAUAGCCAACUAGCUAGAUGGACAAUUAAUCAGCUCAAAGGAUCAAUGGUUUUCCAACAAGUGCAAUAGCAUCCACCUUGUAUUGUUAAAGGCACCCAAUUUUGAUUGUCAUAGAUAAUAAGCUCAUAUUACUUAAUCCUCCUAGCUGUGGGUGAGUGAUUUAGGUUGCAACACAACAAUUUCUCAACAUAAAAUAGAGGCUAUUACGGAGUUUUUGCGGCUCUCAUCUUAUCCUAACUCCUUAUCUCCACUGGCCUUUCUAAUAAGAUUUGGUGAGUAAGAGUGCGAUGAGAGAAACAGAGGAUCUCGUGAGUGAAGAGGUUGACGUGUAUCCACUAAAGAACAGUGUCCUUGUAAUUGUCACGUUUAACUCUUCUUUGUAGAAGUGCUGCUCCUGAAACUUUUCAAGUUGAUGAUGAAAUGAGGAUGCUCUUUUCCUUUGAUAACUAAAGCGAAAAGAUAAGCGCCUUGCGACCAAGAACAAGAGGUUUGUUUGGCACCACUAGUAAAUCCAUCAAUUAGCGCACUUUUUGCACUUUUUUGUACCCUUUUUUUGCACUUAUUGUCGCACUUUUUCUACCUCUUCUCUCUCUUCUCUAUAUCCAGAAGAACCAGAACUAUCCAUUUUCAACCGCACAAAAUGUAAAUUGUUCGUAUCGAAGACCAAUAAUCCUCACAACUAACUUUAUAGCAUAGUGGAUAGGAAAUGAUAAAAUCGGAUUGCGGUAAAUUAAAAGUUGCAAAAAGUUGUAGCAAAAUAGUGUUGGUGUGAGUACAUUAAAAUUUAAUACUUUCCUAUUACUCCCACAAUCGCAACAAAGAAGAAGAUGAAGAAGAAAAUGACGGGCUACCACCUACUAGUAUUGCAUAUGAAUUUUCUUCGCAUUAGGUUCGCUGAAUCUGUUUUGGUGACAGUGAUUUGAAAGUUCUGUUAACUUUAGUGCUCCCAAACUAGGCCUUACUGAGAUCAAAGAUUAAAUUUGAAAGAGCUACUGCUCAUUAUAGUCUGAAAGUUUCCUAGGAUUGUUUUUUUUUUUUUUUUCUUGAAACAAAUGUAGUAUGUUGUCUGUUUUGUUUAUUUUUAAAAAAAUAAAUUUAAUUGAAAAUAUAAAUUAAUUAAAAUUCGAACUUGUGAUCUCGAAUACUAACUAUCAAGUCGUUUACCGCUUACGCUAGCUAUAAACGGUCAGUAGUUUUCUAGGAUUGUUGAUCAUGCCUAUUAUGCUGGUCCCUGGGGGCUAUAUUUGAAACGGAUGAAAAAUAUCAAGAAAAAGUUUUCUUGAAGUACUUCCUUUCGCCAGAAGUCUUCAAUUGAAAGAAUCCAACUUUCACUCAUCUGACGAAGUAGCAACGCAUGAAACUCAGACAGAUCAAGCAUUUAAUUUUUUAUUAGGGUAACUACAUAUGACUCUAUGUAAAGACAUCAAAUAACAAAUAUAUUUCUACAAAACUUANGCCACAGGGCAGGAUGCUGGCCCAUUUAAGCCAACAAUCCUCCCUCCAGCACCUGCACACAUUUGCAGCAUGCAGGAAUCGAACCCGUGACCUCUAGCUCUGAUACCACUUGUCGGAUCGUUGGCGCUAACCAUUAAUUCCAAAAGCUCGAGCUGUUAGAAAUACGCAACCAAUUUACUUAAGGCGUACAGAAACAAUGCCCACGGGUCUCAAUUGUGACUCGGCCCACCUGGCCUCACGCCACUUCGAACAUAACUCGGCCCAACCCAGCCUCACGCCAUUUCGAACAUGACUCGGCCCACAUGGCCUCCCGCCACAGGGCAGGAUGCUGGCCCAUUUAAGCCAACAGUAGCAACGCAUGAAACUCAGACAGAUCAAGCAUUUAAUUUUUUAUUAGGGUAACUACAUAUGACUCUAUGUAAAGACAUCAAAUAACAAAUAUAUUUCUACAAAAUUAAGUUAUCAAAUUUAUUUCUCCAAAAAUUCUUCCAUCUACAAGUAAUUUUGAUAAUCAUGAGUUUAAAAAGCUAACCACAGUUAGCUAAGAGGUAAAAUAAUUUUUUAUCUCCUAUAUGUAUAAUUUGUAUUUUAAUGUAGAGUCUCAUCAUCUUUCUCGUCCCUUUAUUUUUAUUCAUAGUGACAACGAGACCUACGGCAGCGGCGACGUCAAAGGUGAGACCCUCGAUCGCGAUAAAAAUAAGAUACGCUACAUGUGCCGCAAGGAAGGCGAAGAGAGAGAAAAAGAAAAAUAGCUUUUACGGACCCAUCGCUAAAAAAAUUAAUGAUGAAUCAAACGGGAAGAUCAUAUACGAACUAACGGAAACUUUUGAAAUGAUAUAUUUAUAAAUCAGAGAAUUUUUUUAAAAAUAAAUCUGAUAACUUAAGUUUUGUAGGCCGUAUUUGCUAUUUCAUAUCUUGUAGCAACCUGUAUAAAAUU